CCUACGGGCGGCAGCAGUGGGGAAUAUUGGGCAAUGGAGGCAACUCUGACCCAGCAACGCCGCGUGAGCGAUGAAGGUCCUCGGAUUGUUAAGCCCUUUAAGCGGGGACGAAGAAAGUGACUGUACCCGCAGAAUAAGCCUCGGCUAACUACGUGCCAGCAGUCGCGGUAAUACGUAGGAGGCAAGCGUUAUCCGGAAUGACUGGGCGUAAAGGGUGCGUAGGCGGUCGGAUAAGUUAGAGGUGAAAUCCCGAGGCUCAACUUCGGAAUUGGCGCGGAUACUGUUCGGCUAGAGAGUAGUUGCGGUAGGCGGAAUGUAUGGUGUAGCGGUGAAAUGCUUAGAGAUCAUACAGAACACCGAUUGCGAAGGCAGCUUACCAAGGUACUUCUGACGUUGAGGCACGAAAGCGUGGGGAGCGAACAGGAUUAGAUACCCGGGUAGUC
rnacentral:rRNA from 1 species